AACUUUACACUGCGGGAAACCGCGAUAAGGGGACCCCGAGUGCCAGCACCUAGUGCUGGCUGUCCCGCUGUUUAAAAAACAGUGGUUAGCAAGGGCCGGGCAAGACCGGUGCCAGCCGCCGCGGUAACACCGGCGGCCUGAGUGGUAGCCGUUAUUAUUGGGUUUAAAGGGUCCGUAGCCGGCUUAUUAAGUCUCUUGGGAAAUCUGGCGGCUUAAUCGUCAGGCGUCCAAGAGAUACUGGUAGGCUUGGGACCGGGAGAGGUGGGAGGUACUCCAGGGGUAGGGGUGAAAUCUCGUAAUCCUUGGGGGACCACCGAUGGCGAAGGCAUCCCACCAGAACGGGUCCGACGGUGAGGGACGAAAGCUGGGGGCACGAACCGGAUUAGAUACCCGGGUAGUCCCAGCUGUAAACGAUGCUCGCUAGGUGUCAGGUGCGGUGCGACCGCAUCUGGUGCCGCAGUGAAAACUUGAAGCGAGUCACCUGGGAAGUACGGUCGCAAGGCUGAAACUUAA
rnacentral:rRNA from 1 species